rnacentral:rRNA from 1 species
CACUGCUCUGACGGAUGCUUUUAUUAGACCAAGCCGCUGAGGACUUGGGGGUUCUCCUCUUGUCUGACUCGUGUGAUGGUGACUCUGGAUAACCAAUUCUGACAAGCGCACGUACUUCUCUUCUGAGCGAGACGGCGCUGCCACUUUCGAGUGUCUGCCUUAUCAGCUAUCAACCGUUCGUUAUGCGCGACCGAUGGCUUUGACGGGUAACGGGGAAUCAGGGUUCGAUUCCGGAGAGGCAGCCUGAGAGACGGCUACCACGUCCAAGGACGGCAGCAGGCACGCAAAUUACCCAAUCCCAGCAACUGGGGGAGGUAGUGACGAAAUCUAACGAUGCGGGCGCCCUUUCUGGGGCCCCGCAAUCGGAAUGGGCACUUUCUAAACAACCUGUUGAGAACCUACUGAAGGGCAAGUCUGGUGCCAGCAGGCGCGGUAAUUCCAGCUUCAGCAGCAUCUAUUAAAGUUGCUGCGGUUAAAAGGCUCGCAGUUGAAUGUCUGUAUCGAGCGCAGGUCAGGUGGACGUUGGGGCGUGGAAGUACGGGCAGUUGGAUGUCCGUGGGGCCUUCGUGCUCAACGGCUCCUUCGGCUUUUCCACACACCCCCGUCCGUGACAAGCCUCCUCGCUCGGGUACAUAACGGGAAUCGGUCAAACGGAGUGUGGUUGGAGGUUGGGGUGCGUGGCUUCGGUUGCGUGCUUCUUCUUUCGGCUGCGUUAAGCUCCAUCGGUUUCACGGUCACCUUGAGUAAAUCAGAGUGCUCAAAGCAGUCGUAGGGGCCUUGCGCCCUGUGAACAGUCUUGACGGACUGACUUGGUUUUGCAUGGCAUGUCGGAAGACGACGUCGUGUGCUGGCUCAGAGGAUAAAUCAGUGGUACAAGCCAGCCUCGACGUAAUGAUUAAAAGGGACGGUCGAGGGCAUUGGUAUUGCGAGGCGAGAGGUGAAAUUCUGUGACCCCCGCAAGACCUCCUGAAGCGAAAGCGUCUGCCAAGGACGUUUU